AAUUACCUGCCCUGUUUGUGAUAAAUGAAAAAGUUGAUCCGGCAAAUUAGAUCUUUAGGGAGCCUGUUUAGGGAGUACGGUGUGCAUGUCUCAUCUAUGAUGAGAAAGCCUGAAGUCUCCUUUAAGGCACCCACCUAUAUAAUAGGCGGAUCUGAUUCUUCGUUUACACGGCGGGGCGGGUUUAUU
rnacentral:other from 1 species